CCUACGGAGUGCUGCAGUGGGGAAUAUUGGACAAUGGGCGAAAGCCUGAUCCAGCCAUGCCGCGUGUGUGAAGAAGGCCUUCGGGUUGUAAAGCACUUUCAGUGGGGAAGAAAGCCUUGGGGCUAAUACCCUCGAGGAAGGACAUCACCCACAGAAGAAGCACCGGCUAACUCCGUGCCAGCAGCCGCGGUAAUACGGAGGGUGCGAGCGUUAAUCGGAAUUACUGGGCGUAAAGCGCGCGUAGGCGGUCUGAUAAGCCGGUUGUGAAAGCCCCGGGCUCAACCUGGGAACGGCAUCCGGAACUGUCAGGCUAGAGUGCAGGAGAGGAAGGUAGAAUUCCCGGUGUAGCGGUGAAAUGCGUAGAGAUCGGGAGGAAUACCAGUGGCGAAGGCGGCCUUCUGGACUGACACUGACGCUGAGGUGCGAAAGCGUGGGUAGCAAACAGGAUUAGAUACCUAGUAGUC
rnacentral:rRNA from 1 species